AGUCAGGGAAUUUUUAUUUUCAAAAUGGCUGGGAACCCUGAAAAUACRAUAUGCAUGCAGAUCUUUUUAAAAGGCAUGACUAAAUUACUACUUCCCAAAGCUCACCAUUCUGAUAAUAUAUUCAUUUUACCUCAAAUCCACUUAUUGUUCUGUAGUAAGGGUCUAACAACAGCAUAGCAAGUGCAGUCAACUACAUGCAAAGAAAAUGUAGAAAAUAUGUAUGCAACCUUUGGCAAAACUAGGUCAAGCUCCCCUCAAGCCCACUGCUCAGUCAUCAUAGGAAGAGGAAGAAAACAACCAGUCCUCAUUUUUCAAGGUUAUAUCGCUAACAAAUUAUUGUCAAGCUAAAUAAAUAGUAUAUCUGGACCAGUGGGAGACUUACCUUGAUGUAGUCUAGCCAGUGAGUGUUUUCUAGAUUAGUCAGCCAAUGAGCAUCAUCAAUUGUUGGAAAGCAAAUGUCUUUGAGCUUUCUAAGACUGUAUGACAAAAAAGUCCAAUAUUAUAAUAAAUCUUGAAAGUUAUUACUGA